rnacentral:lncRNA from 1 species
UAACAUGGUCAAAUCAAAUUAGAAAACAUGAAAUUUUGUGAAUAACAGCAAACGGAAAACAGAAACGACGAGCCUAUCGAUAUAGACCACAAAAUAAGAAAAGAAAGAAAGAAAGAAAAACCUAUCUACUCUCCUGUUGAAGGUUGGUCAGCAUGUAGCACUAGGAGCAGCCAAGCAGCAGGCCAAAAAGCCUGAGCCAUGCAGGAGCUGCUGAAGCAAGUGCAGCUGUUUAUUUUUGUUCAUUUUGUAACCUUAGUUUGAUGUAAUGUAAUUUAGUUCAUUUUGAACUAUGUUAGUUUGAUGUUUGAUGUAAUUUGAUAGUGAUUGAGCUGUUAACUCAGCUUUGUUCAUGUGUGCAAGCUUGGUUUACCAAGUUUCAAUGUAUUAGUGGUAGUAGGUAUUGUUUAGGUGACCAUAUACUGAUUUUGACAAGCUGAAUGCUUGGUUUUAUGUAUUGGCAUUAUGCCAUUAUUCAUUCUUAAUGAAAAUAUCAGCUUUUCAUUCAAAAUACUCGCAUUUUUCUUGUUUUUCUUUUCUGUUCUUAAGCAAAUUCUGUUGUUUGCUCUACAAGCCUCAAGCCUUGCUGCUCAAGCUUCUUUUGACCUUGCUACUUCAUCCGGAUUAAUUGUUCAUAACACCAACAAUUGGUAUCUAGAGCUAUAAUCUUAGUGGACUUGUUUCUUUCUAACUUCAAGAUCGAUGGCUUCAUCAGGUUUCUCACCAACUGCACCACCAGUCUUCAAUGGAGAGGGCUAUCACAUAUGGGUGGUCAAAAUGAAGACCUACCUGCAGGAAUUAGACCUAUGGGAGGUGGUCAACUUAGAUGUUGAACCAGUACCACUUAGAGUCAACCCAACAGUGGCUCAGAUCAGGCAGCAUGCUGAUGAAAGGACCAAGAGGCACAAAGCCAUGUCUUGCAUUCAGAAUUGUGUAUUAGAUGUGAUCUUCACAAGGAUCAUGGCCUGUGAGACACCAAAGUAGGCCUGGAAUAGAUUGAAGGAGGAGUUCCAAGGGACAGAGAGGACAAGGCAGCAACAGCUACUGAAUUUGAGAAGGGAUUUCGAGAAUUUGAAGAUGAAGGAGGAAGAAACUAUCAAGCAAUACUCUGAUAGAAUCAUGGUUGUGGUAAACAGCAUAAGGCUUCUUGGAGAGCAGUUCAGUGAAGUAAGGAUAGUGGAGAAAAUGAUCUCAACCCUACCUAAAAGGUAUGAGGCAAAAAUAUCUUCCCUCAAAGACUCAAAGGACCUGACCAGCAUCUCAUUGACAGAGCUGAUCAAUGCCCUCUAUGCACAAGAGCAAAGAAGAGCUAGCAGAUUGGAGGAGCACCAAGAAGGUGCCUUCCAAGCCAAAACCAAAUCUAGCUCAACUAGCUUUGCCUACAAAGGAAAAAUGACUUGGAGAGACAAGCCUAAGUCAGAUGCUCCAAGAAGAAGGGACCAACCUUUCAGGCAUUGCAAAAGACAUGGUCAUCCAGAAGCAAAUUGUUGGUUUAGACCAAAUGUGCAGUGCCAAUAUGGGCCAUGUUGAAAAGGUUUGCAAAAACAAAGGCAAACCAAGGCAGGGUCAGCCACAACAGCCAAAGGCUGAAGCUCGAGUAGCAGAAGAGGGCAGUGACCAUGAGGAGCAAGUUUUUGUAGUUUCAUGCUCAGCUGCUAAGGAGAAAACCACAAAGGGAUGGUUUAUAGACAGUGGCUGCACAAAUCAAAUGACACCAGAUGCUAAGGAGAAGGCCACAAAGGGAUAGCUUAUAGACAGUGGCUGCACAAAUCACAUGACAUCAGAUAUUUCAAUCUUCAAAACAAUUGAUAGAAGCUUCAAAACAAAGGUGAAAGUUGGUAAUGGCCACUUCAUCAAGGCAGAAGGCAAAGGGGAUGUGUUGAUAAGCACUCCCACAAGCAACAAACUUGUUUCAAAUGUGUUGUUGGUGCCUGAGAUUGACAGAAGUCUACUCAGCAUAGCUCAGUUGCUUGAGAAAGGCUAUACUGUAGUGUUCAAAGGCAAUGAGUGCCAAAUCAAUGAUCCAACUGGAUUCAGGCUCAUGUCAGUAGCAAUGACUGAUAAAAGUUUUGUUAUGGAUUGGAAUAAGGGUCUACACACUGCCUACACAACCUCACUAGAUGAAUCCAAGCUUUGGCACCAAAGGCUUGAUCAUGCCAACUACAGAUUGAUGGAUCAGCUAACCAAAGAAGAUCUAGUUGAGAACUUCAUCAAGUCAGAUGAAAAUGAGGAGGUUUGUGAAGUAUGUCAACCAGGGACGCAGGGUAGACUUCCAUUUCCUUCAAAUAAGGCUUGGAGAGCCUCAGAAAGGCUGUAGCUUGUACACACUGAUAUGUGCGGCCCCAUGAGGACUCAAUCCUUGAAUGGCAGCAGGUAUUUCAUUCUUCUUUUUUGAUAAUCAUUCGAGAUUGUGCUGGAUUUACUUCUUGAAGCACAAAUCAGAAGUGGCCUCAGUGUUUUGGAAGUUCAAGACUGCUGCAGAGACUGAAAAAGGCUGCAAACUCAAGACCCUAAGGUUCGAUAAUGGAACUGAGUACACCUCAACUUAGUUUCAAGCCUUUUGUGAUGAACAAGGCAUUAAACAUCAGCCUACUAACACUUACACACCUCAACAGAAUGGUGUAAGUGAAAGAAAGAACAGGAGCUUGAUGGAUAUGGCCAGAUGCUUAAUGUUUGAGAAGAAUUUACCCAAAACCUUAUGGGCUGAGGCAGUUAACACUGCUGUUUAUAUUCAAAACAGGCUCCCAAUCAAGGCAUUAGCUCACAAAACUCCAUUUGAGGCCUGGUUCGGGUUUAAGCCAUCACUAGCUCACCUGAAGGUCUUUGGUUGCAUAUGCUAUGCACAUGUCCCAAUUGUGAAGAGGGACAAACUGGCCAAGAAAGCACAACCUGGUAUUUUGGUAGGUUACAGUAUAGUCAAGAAGGGCUAUAAAAUCUUGGAUCCUUCAAUAAAUAAGGUGUUUGUGAGCAGAGAUGUAGUGUUCGAUGAAAAAUCAUGUUGGAAUUGGGAGAAGAAUGAGCCAGAGGCAAUUUCUAAAGACCUUAUGGCUAAUCAAACUGAGGCUGAUCAAAAUAGUCCUGAAAUGGAAGUCAGGGGCACUAGACCAUUUGCUGAGAUUUAUGAAAGAGCUCAAGUAGCCAUAGUGGAACCAAGCUGCUUUGAAGAGGCUAAAGCUCAAGAAGGCUUAAAACACUGAUGAAAUCAGAAUGAUUGAAAAGAAUCAGACUUGGGAAUUAGUUGAAAGACUAGCCAGCAGGAAGAUUAUUAGGGUAAAAUGAGUCUAUAGAGCCAAACAGAAUGCUGAUGGAAGUUUGAACAAGUUGAAAGCAAGACUAGUUGUGAAGGGGUUUAGCCAAAAGUAUGGCAUAGCCUAUCUAGAUACCUUUGCACCAGUUGCUAAGCUUGAUACCAUCAGGCUGCUAAUUGCCUUAGCAGCACAAAUACAAUGGGAAAUCCAUCAACUUGAUGUGAAGUCUGCUUUUCUUAAUGGUUUCCUUGAAGAAGAGAUUUUUAUAAAGCAACCUCAAGGUUUCAAAGUGGUUUGUAAAGAAGACAUGGUGUACAGACUAAAAAAGGCCUUAUAUGGCUUGAAAUAGGCACCAAGGGCCUGGUAUAACAUAAUCGGUAGCUACUUGGUCAGUUUGGGAUUUGAAAGGAGCAUUAGUGAGCCAACAUUGUAUGUUAAAAAGGAAGGAGUACAGACUCAGCUCAUAUGUCCUUGUAUAUUGAUCACCUACUAGUGACAGGAGGAGACAAAGAAAUGUUGGUUGAUUUCAAAGCCAAAAUGCAACAUAUGUUUGAAAUGUCUGAUUUGGGACAAAUGUCCUACUUCUUGGGCAUGGAAGUAACUCAAACUCAGGAAUGAAUCUUUCUAAGUCAAAAGGCGUUUGCCAUGAAGAUUUUAAAAAAGUUCUCAAUACAGAAUUGCAAGGCUACAAGUACUCCAACUACCAUUGGAGAAAAACUAUCGAGCCAAGGAGACUUUAAACAGGUCAGUGAGUCAGUCUACAGAAGUUUGGUAGGUUGCUUGCUAUAUUUGAUUGCCACUAGGCCAGACAUUAUGUUUACUCUAAGUUUGCUCUCAAGAUUCAUGCAUUGUUGCAAUGAGAAGCACUUUCAAGCUGCCAAAAGAGUGCUCAGGUACAUCAAAGGUACCCUGAGCUAUGGAAUGCUGUAUAGCAAAGCUAAAAGCUUAAAAUUGGUUGGUUAUGUUGACAGUGACUGGGCUGGUUCGAAGGAUGAUAUGAAAAGCACCUCAGGGUAUGUUUUCACCCUUGGUGCAGCUAUUUUUUGCUGGAGUUCGAAGAAGCAAAAUGUUGUUGCUCGGUCAACUGCUGAGGCAGAAUAUGUUGCAGCUGCAGCAACUAUCAACCAAGCCAUUUGGCUAAGGAAGAUCUCGGCUAAUCUGAAUCUUCACCAAAGGGAAGUAACAGAGAUAAUGUGUGACAACCAAUCUGUUGUUGCAAUUGCAAAGAACCCCUUUUUCCAUGGAAGGACAAAGCACUUCAACAUUAAGCUUCAUGUUGUAAGAGGAAUGGAACAAGCACAGGAAGUGAAACUGGUUCAUUGCAAUUCUGAAGAGCAAUUGGCUGACAUUUUGACAAAAACCCUUAGUGUGUCAAGAUUCUUACAUUUAAGAAGUGAAAUAGGAGUUUGCAACAUGCUAGCCAAGGAGGAGUGUUGAAGGUUGGUCAGCAUGUAGCACUAGGAGCAGCCAAGAAGUAGGCCAAAAAGGCAGAGCCAUGCAGGAGCUACUGAAGCAAGUGCAGCUAUUUAUUUUUGUUCAUUUUGUAACCUUAGUUUGAUGUAAUGUAAUUUAGUUCAUGUUGAACUAUGUUAAUUUGAUGUUUGAUGUAAUUUGAUAGUGAUUGAGCUGUUAACUCAACUUUGUUCAUGUGUGCAAGCUUGGUUUACCAAGUUUCAAUGUAUUAGUGGUAGUAGGUAUUGUUUAG